rnacentral:rRNA from 1 species
AUUGAACGCUGGCGGCAGGCCUAACACAUGCAAGUCGAGCGGAUGAAGGGAGCUUGCUCCUGGAUUCAGCGGCGGACGGGUGAGUAAUGCCUAGGAAUCUGCCUGGUAGUGGGGGAUAACGUCCGGAAACGGGCGCUAAUACCGCAUACGUCCUGAGGGAGAAAGUGGGGGAUCUUCGGACCUCACGCUAUCAGAUGAGCCUAGGUCGGAUUAGCUAGUUGGUGGGGUAAAGGCCUACCAAGGCGACGAUCCGUAACUGGUCUGAGAGGAUGAUCAGUCACACUGGAACUGAGACACGGUCCAGACUCCUACGGGAGGCAGCAGUGGGGAAUAUUGGACAAUGGGCGAAAGCCUGAUCCAGCCAUGCCGCGUGUGUGAAGAAGGUCUUCGGAUUGUAAAGCACUUUAAGUUGGGAGGAAGGGCAGUAAGUUAAUACCUUGCUGUUUUGACGUUACCAACAGAAUAAGCGCCGGCGAACUUCGU